GCAAGUCGAGGGGCAGCAUGACUGUAGCAAUACAGUUGAUGGCGACCGGCAAACGGGUGCGGAACACGUACAGAACCUUCCUUCGAGCGGGGAAUAGCCCAGAGAAAUUUGGAUUAAUACCCCAUAGUAUAUUGAAGUGGCAUCACUUUAAUAUUAAAGAUUUAUCACUUGAAGAUGGCUGUGCGGCUGAUUAGGUAGUUGGCGGGGUAACGGCCCACCAAGCCUGCGAUCAGUAACUGGUGUGAGAGCACGACCAGUCACACGGGCACUGAGACACGGGCCCGACUCCUACGGGAGGCAGCAGUAAGGAAUAUUGGUCAAUGGACGAAAGUCUGAACCAGCCAUGCCGCGUGGAGGAUGAAGGCCCUCUGGGUUGUAAACUUCUUUUAUAUGGGACGAAAAAGGGCCUUUCUAGGUCAACUGACGGUACCAUGUGAAUAAGCACCGGCUAACUCCGUGCCAGCAGCCGCGGUAAUACGGAGGGUGCAAGCGUUAUCCGGAUUCACUGGGUUUAAAGGGUGCGUAGGUGGGUUGGUAAGUCAGUGGUGAAAUCUCCGAGCUUAACUUGGAAACUGCCAUUGAUACUAUCAGUCUUGAAUAUCGUGGAGGUCAGCGGAAUAUGUCAUGUA
rnacentral:rRNA from 1 species